UCUGAUUCUAAACACGUCAUUAAAAACUCAAACGAGGUUGAGAUGCUGCCUGGGCCCUGCCCUAGCGGUGACGCAACGCUUUUGAAAUUGCCUCAGCUUCAGCUAUGGUCGGCAAUCAGGCGAAGUAGAUCCAGAAAUUUUCUGUUUCUCUCCUGCUUGUACAAGAGGUCAUUUGUGGGAAGACAGUUGACAGUUGGAAGAAAAAAGAUGAUUCUAAGCACACUUAUGCCGUGAGUGCACACCCACCAUCUUUCCUUUCUCAUCUGCCUCGACAAGAGUAACUACAGAAUCGGCUGUGGAGGGAACAACGUUUACACUUCGGAGAUUAUUUGACGAUGGAAGGAUUUAUUGGCAAGGUGAAUGUGGCGUUGUAAGGGGCGCUCAUAGUCGUUCCAACAAGACACGAUUUGCUGACCCAUUAUAAGCGCAAACUCAGGACUUCGGUCGCCCUGCAAGGUGAAUGUGGCGUUGUAAGGGGCGCUCAUAGUCGUUCCAACAAGUCACGAUUUGCUGACCCAUUAUAAGCGCAAACUCGGGACUUUGGUCGCCCUGCAAGGUGAAUGUGGCGUUGUAAGGGGCGCUCAUAGUCGUUCCAACAAGGCAUUUUGCUGACAGCAAGGCGAUUUGCUGACCCAUUAGAAGCGCAAACUCGGGACUUUGGUCGCCCUGCAAGAUAAAUGCUGAAUUCAAGAGAAUAACUACAAUGCCCUUGCAGUCGAGAUUCCUGUCCCAGCUAGACAUAUUGUCUGACAAGCUGCUG